AGGACUAGGAAAAGUGAAAGAAUCAUAAAGCAAGGCCAGGAAAAUGAGUUUAAUCCAGUGAUAGAUGCAGAGUUCUAUAUUAGAAAGCGUGAAGACAAGGAGGGCUUUGCUGUUAAAGAAAUUACUCCAGAGAUAGGAAAAGGAGUGUUUACCAGCAGAAAUUUUAAGAAAGGAGAUUUUCUCCUUGAAUAUGAAGGAGAGUUGCUUUCCAGCGAAGAAGGUGUCAGUAGGCUGGAUGACCAUGUGGCAAGUGGCAUUGGUUGUUAUGUGUUUUUUUUCAAAAAUAAAGAUGAAAAAAA